CACUGCAACUAAAACUACUCUUUAUUUUGCAGUGUCUCAGACUAUCUGGAUAUCAGAUGGAUGCCAUUCUGUGCACAUGUUCACUGCAAUGGACAUAGAAAAUGCUUUAAAUGAAACGGACGGAAAUGAUUCCAAUGAAAAGCUUUUACGUCUCCCAGUUGUACGAGUUCUUUUCUCUAGUGAGAAGAUCCAAGACAUCAUUUCUCUAUCUGCAAAUUCCGUUCUGAUUCUUGGACAAGGAAGCUUAUAUGCAUAUGCAAUUUCCUGAAGCUGCUUUGAGUUUUUAAUCUUUUUCAGUGGAAAUCAAUAUAUCUGGCACCCUUGAUGUUUCUAAAGUAUACUUGUGUGGUUCAUCGAUAAAUCAUCUCUCUCGUGGUGCUCUGGUUGCCCUCUCCUUAUAGCGCAUCCCUUUGAUACUGGAGACCAUGAAAGAUUGGCAGCAAGCGUCAUUAUGGAGUUUCUGUUUUUGGGGCUGAGGUUUUCAAGAUCUUAAAGCUGCCUGUCCCGCAAAACCUGCCAGUUAACUGCCGGAGGACAUACGUCCUACAAAGAUGUUGGCUCUUCAUCCAACUUGCUUGAUGCUCAUCUCUUGGAGUUGGUUGAAAACAUGGUUUUCUGCCAGAGAACUUAGCAAGGUUCGAUAUAAAAGGCAUGAUCUUGGCAAUUGUGUUUUCUCCGUUUGUUAGAAAAGUGUUUUCUGGAUUUCAAUUUUCUCAUUCUAGUUACGUCUAUGGUUUACUACUAUGCGAGUUUGUGGAGUUGGAGGCUUGUCUUGUUAUUUAUGCUACGUUAACUUUAUAGCCUGUCAUGUUUUGCUCUCUUAA